UACGUAGGGUGCAAGCGUUACUCGGAAUUACUGGGCGUAAAGCGUGCGCAGGCGGUUGUGCAAGACAGAUGUGAAAUCCCCGGGCUUAACCUGGGAAUUGCAUUUGUGACUGCACGGCUAGAGUGUGGCAGAGGGGGGUAGAAUUCCACGUGUAGCAGUGAAAUGCGUAGAUAUGUGGAGGAAUACCGAUGGCGAAGGCAGCCCCCUGGGAUAACACUGACGCUCAUGCACGAAAGCGUGGGGAGCAAACAGG
rnacentral:rRNA from 1 species